AACUGUAACUCCUUCUAGUUGAAUUACAGCUAACUGUCUAUUAUAUUAGUACCGUAGUUAAUCCAAAGUGUCGUUCUUUGAACGAACAGUUAAUCAAAAGUGUUUGAACGAACAGUUAAUCAAAAGUGUUUGAUGCUAAAGGACACUUGUAAACAAAAGCAGUAAAAUGUGCUGUGCAUGCAAAGAUGGGGCUUGCAAGUUUGGAUCGCUCCACCGCUUGCUCUUGAUCGAAAGGAAACUAAAGCGAAAAAAAAUGUAAAGAGAGACAUGCAUGUUCUUGCGUUGGGGCCGGCGAACCCCACAUAGCACAUCGGAAAGCGUGCGUUUGUAUCAUAUGAGUUCGUAAUCGUAUCCAUACUCUCCCUCUCUCCCUCCCACUUUCUCGAUCUUCAGUUUUGAUGCUGGCCUUGUGCUUUUGCAAAGC
rnacentral:lncRNA from 1 species